GACGAACGCUGGCGGCGUGCUUAACACAUGCAAGUCGAACGGAAAGGCGCUGCUUUUGUGGGGUGCUCGAGUGGCGAACGGGUGAGUAACACGUGAGUAACCUGCCCUUGACUUUGUGAUAACUCCAGGAAACUGGGGCUAAUACCGGAUAGGAUCUCCUGCUGCACGGUGGGGGUUGGAAAGUUUCGGCGGUUGGGGAUGGACUCGCGGCUUAUCAGCUUGUUGGUGGGGUAGUGGCUUACCAAGGCUUUGACGGGUAGCCGGCCUGAGAGGGUGACCGGCCACAUUGGGACUGAGGUACGGCCCAGACUCCUACGGGAGGCAGCAGUGGGGAAUAUUGCACAAUGGGCGGAAGCCUGAUGCAGCAACGCCGCGUGCGGGAUGACGGCCUUCGGGUUGUAAACCGCUUUCGCCUGUGACGAAGCGUGAGUGACGGUAAUGGGUAAAGAAGCACCGGCUAACUACGUG
rnacentral:rRNA from 1 species